rnacentral:snRNA from 1 species
AGGGCGAGGCUCAGCCAUUGCACUGCGGUUGUGCUGACCCCUGUGAAUUCCCCAAAUGAGAAUCUCA